CCUUAAGACUCAAAUAUAUGUUGGAGAUAGGUUGAUGGAAGCCCAAUGUGGUGCCCGGAGCUGAGGCCUGGUUAUAGGGCAUUUCCAAGUCUCUGGGAAAUGUCCCUCCUCUCAGAAGAGGGGAUGGAGUAAUGCCAUCACAUCUCAGGUAAAUUCCCUCACCAUCUGGUAGCCCAAUGCCUAGAGAGUUUGACAGGCUUUCUCAAAUUUGAGUCCCCUUUGAUUGUUUGAAGGCCAAACGCUGGACCCAGAAUUACCUGGCAUGAAUUUUGGCUAUCAAGUUUGCUCAUGUCAGGCUGGUCCACAUAGAGUUGAGCUUCUACAAAGCUGGCCUUCUGGUUGUGAGUGUACUGUGUCAACCCAGUGCUUUUAGGGGGCAGGCUGCACUCAUACCCAUGCUCUUUCUCUCUCCAGGUCUCCUCAAACUUCUUCCCUCACAUCCGAGUCUCUUCCUCCCCUAGGAGUCUCCUGGUGCAUGGAACUGACCUGAAACUGGAGUUCCCCCAAAGCCUCUGUCUUCCUUCUGUAGCUGAGCUGCUUCAGCCUCUGUGGGACACUCAUUUGAAGGAACCUGUCUAAAUCCAUGUAAGGU
rnacentral:lncRNA from 1 species